GAUGAACGCUGGCGGCGUGCUUAACACAUGCAAGUCGAACGGAAUCCAAGGGGUGCUUGCCCUUUUUGGUGAGCGUGGCGAACGGGUGAGUCACACGUGAGUCACCUGUCCUUUUCUUUGGGAUAGCAUUCGAACGGGUGUUUAAUACCUUAAGUUCUGUCUGCCUCGCAUGGGGUGGGUGGGAAAGGCUUUGGCCGGAUUUGGGUGGGGUCGCGGUCUAUCAGCUGGUUGGUGGGGUGAUGGCUAACCAAGGCUUUGACGGGUAGUCGGCGUGAGAGGGUGGUGGGUCACAGUCGGACUGAGAAACGGUCCAGACUGCUGCGGGAGGCAGCAGUGGGGGAUAGUGCACAAUGUGCGAAAGCCUGAUGCAGCGACGCCGCGAGGUGGAUGAAGGCUAUCGGGUUGUAAACUGCUUAUGCUCUGAGCAAGGCAUGCCAGUGGGUGUGUUGAGUGUAGGGGUCGAUUAGCGCCGGCUAACUACGUG
rnacentral:rRNA from 1 species